AGCCUGCGCUGAUUCCCAGUCGCUUUGAUGCUGGUAACAGCUGGGGUCUGUACGGCACAUCACCGUGUAAGCAGAUACUGGCGCUCUUCGACUGAAGCUUGUUGCUUCUUAUUAUCUCGUAUCUUGAGGUCCAUAUACUUAGCAUGCUCGUACAGUACAAACCCAGCGAAUGAGAGUUUGCCAUACUGUUAGCAAAGUUGUCAUUCGCCAUUCUGGCUUUAACUUCUCUGUGCUACAGAAGGCAAUUUUUUCCAUCUUCAAGCGCUCAUACAUGAUAAUUGCAACGUAUUAGCUGCAUCACAAUUGUGUGUCC
rnacentral:sRNA from 2 species